rnacentral:rRNA from 1 species
AGCGAACGCUGGCGGCAGGCUUAAUACAUGCAAGUCGAGCGCCCGUAGCAAUACGGGAGCGGCAGACGGGUGAGUAACACGUGGGAACAUGCCCUUCGGUUCGGAAUAACUCAGGGAAACUUGAGCUAAUACCGGAUACGCCUUACGGGAAGAUUUAUCGCCGAGGAUUGGCCCGCGUCCGAUUAGCUAGUUGGUGAGGUAAUGGCUCACCAAGGCGACGAUCGGUAGCUGGUCNGAGGAGGAUGAUCAGCCACCACUGGGACUGAGACACGGCCCAGACUCCUACGGGAGGCA